rnacentral:rRNA from 1 species
AUUGAACGCUGGCGGCAGGCCUAACACAUGCAAGUCGAGCGAGCGGCGGACGGGUGAGUAAUGUCUGGGAAACUGCCUGAUGGAGGGGGAUAACUACUGGAAACGGUCGCUAAUACCGCAUACCAUCAGAUGUACCCAGAUGGGAUUAGCUAGUAGGUGGGGUAACGGCUCACCUUGGCGACGAUCCCUAGCUGGUCUGAGAGGAUGACCAGCCACACUGGAACUAAGACACGGUCCAGUGUCUUAGGGGAGGAGGGAGUGGGGAAUAUUGGACAAUGGGCGAAAGCCUGAUUCAGCCAUGCCGCGUGUAUGAAGAAGGCCGUCGGGGUGGAAAGUAGUCUCGGCGGGGGGGCGUUACCUGCAGAAGAAGUACCGGCUAACUCCGUGCCAGCAGCCGCGGUAAUUC